GAAUUCAACUCCUACGGGAGGCAGCAGUGGGGAAUAUUGGUCAAUGGGCGCAAGCCUGAUCCAGCCAUGCCGCGUGAGUGAUGAAGGCCCUAGGGUUGUAAAGCUCUUUUGUGCGGGAAGAUAAUGACGGUACCGCAAGAAUAAGCCCCGGCUAACUUCGUGCCAGCAGCCGCGGUAAUACGAAGGGGGCUAGCGUUGCUCGGAAUCACUGGGCGUAAAGGGUGCGUAGGCGGGUCUUUAAGUCAGGGGUGAAAUCCUGGAGCUCAACUCCAGAACUGCCUUUGAUACUGAGGAUCUUGAGUUCGGGAGAGGUGAGUGGAACUGCGAGUGUAGAGGUGAAAUUCGUAGAUAUUCGCAAGAACACCAGUGGCGAAGGCGGCUCACUGGCCCGGUACUGACGCUGAGGUGCGAAAGCGUGGGGAGCAAACAGGAUUAGAUACCCUAGUAGUCCAGGCGUU
rnacentral:rRNA from 1 species